rnacentral:lncRNA from 1 species
CGGGCAACCCUGAGGGCGACCCGCCGCCAUUUUGAGAGGGGAUCAGCGGCGCGGGGGCGGUGCGGCCCUGAGCGGCUCGGUCGGUUCCCUGCAGGCUUUCGGAGCCCAAAGAGUCACAUAUUCCAUAAUUCGGAGCAAUUUGGCAUUGCGGGCCGGGCUGGAUGGGGCUGUGAGCGGCCUGGAGGCGUCCCUGCCCGUAGCGGGGGUUGGGACUGCGUGACCUUAAAGGUCCCUUCCAACCCACCCGUCCUACGGCUCGCGAUGGCGGUGAGCUCUGCCACAGCACGGCCUCUGCUUCCCACUGCCCGCCUGGGAGGUGAGGAGCCCGGCUGGGGCGGCCCAGGGGUGACCGUGGGGGUGUGUGUGGGGGGGUCCCCCACCCUGAACUGCUCGCCAGAACGCUGCUUCUGCAUGUUGGAAUUUAUUUCCGGAGCUGAAGCAAAAACAACCCCAAAAAGCCCCCGGGCGGCUCCCGUGGUGUUCCUAGCACGAGGUGAGGGGUGGGCAGGGCGGGCUGUCCGGUGGCAGCGGGUGCAGGGAGCCAACGUGGCUGUCCUCACCCCCCAGCAGCAGCAGUGCCCAUCACAGCCAGGGGGGUCUCUGAGCUGAGCGACCACGACGACGGUCCGUGGGUUCCCCUCCUUCCCAACAAAGCCCCCCUCAGCUCAGCGUGCCGCUUUGCCCCCCCCGUCCCGCUCCAGGGCCUGCAGGAAGCUCUGGCUGAGGAAGAGGAGCUGCCCGUGGGGCAGCAGGCGGUCCAGCAGGAGGUCGGCGGCGUCGGGCCGCAGCAGCACGGUGGGUCCGGGAGGCCUCAGCAGAGCCGUGAGCCGCCCCGCCAGGAGCCGCAGGGCGCCCUCAGCCAGCGCCAGGUUCUCGUGGGGUUCACACAGCAGAGCGAAAGCCACGGCCGGCGCUGCCAGCCACGACACUGUCACACGGCCGGGGAAGGGGUCUCCGGGGGGCAGCUGGAAGAGCCCCCCCGGGGCCGUCUGGAGCGGUGCGGGAUCUUCGGGCAGCGUUGGAGCGGGGGGGCGGCCGGAGGAUGCGUGGUGCAGGUGGCAAUGGCUGGCGACCUGCCUGGGGGGGGGGGUAAUGGGGUGAGGACCACCCCCACGGGGCGAGGACCCCCCCGUGGUUUCAGUAACGUUUCAAUGGAGGCGCAGGGGUCGGUGGGACCCCCGGGGUCGUACCGCGGCCCCGUCACCCCCCUCCCAUCCCCUGCACUCACUGUGGAUGCUAUACCCGGGGGGGGGUCGCAGUUCUAUGCCCACAGCCCCGGCGUUCACACAGGGAGGGGUCCCACGGCCCGGGGGGUCCCUUAGGAGUGGCUUUUUCGCUCCCCCCUUCGCCAUUACGGCGCUCUAAGGCCCAGCGGGGCCCGCUGAGGUGGGUUCUGGGGAGGGUCCCGCCGCUCCCCGCCCCCGUUACCUGGCCACCGCCAGCAGCUGCUCCUUACGGAGGAGGCGGCCCUGCGGGGGCGGCCCGAAGGACCGCGCGUACAGCACGCGGCACAGCCCGGGGCCUACCGGGGGGGGUCCGCCCGGGGACAGCAGCAUGAAGGCCAGCACCAUGGCAACGCGCCGCGCGUCACGUGAUGCGGAAGGAAAGGCGGGAUUGGAUAGCGCGGCGGAGCCGAAACUUAGCCGUGAUUGGUGCAGCGAAAACCUUCGGCUACGAUUGGUUAACACCGGGAGACGGUGCUGCGCGCGACCUGACGCCGUGAUGGCACCCUACACGUGACAGCGGCGAGCCGCCAUUGGCUGAGGCGACGCCGGAAGUGCGCGCUGAUUGGUGGAGGGACAGGAUAAGGAAGUGGACAGCAGCGUCCAUCGGGGAGUGGAGCGCCGGGGCAGCGGGGAUGGAGUUCCGUGCGGCGCUGCAGCCGAUCCGGCCCGGCCCCCACACCACCGUACGCGGCCCCACCGUACACGACACUGCUCUCGGCGCGGCCUCGGGCCCCUUUAUUCUCCGGCGCGGUUACACACCCGGGGAGCCGAGCACGAAGGGCGGUGCAGCGCCUUAACCGGGGGGCAGCGCAGGGCCCGCUCCCUUCGGGGGCGCCCGGAGCUUUUUAAGUGCUUUCUGCGGCCCCUCCCGGUGCUCGGGAAGGGGCGGAGGGCGGAGCCCGGAGCUGAGGACGCUGAGGAGGGCGCCCGGCACGCGGCAGCGGCGCGGCUCAGACCUCCCCCCGUUGUCCCCCCUCGGGUUCCUCCCUCCGCCUCCGGCCCGGCACAGCGCAGCGCCCCCCCCGGUCCCGCUCUCCCCUCCCCCCCCCCUCCGGUCCCGCCCCGCAGCGCCGGGGCUCAGCAGUUCUUGAGGCGGCUGUAGAGCUCCCGUUUGCUGCGCUCCCCGGCCCACGUGCGGCUCUUAAGGCGGCAUUUGCGGAGGUCCUCCUUGAAGUCGGCGUGGUGCAUGGGCCGGUAGUCCUGCGGCUCACAGUGCGCCUGCGCGCCCGCCGCCCCCGUCAGCCCCCAGCGACCAACGGCCCCCGGCCGCAGCACCCGGGGGGGGCGGGGGAGGACGAGGGGCCUCACC